UCAACAGGACGGGCAAGUUCUGUGGCUGUGACCCUAGUGGAGUUUGUGGGUUUCUGCCCAAUAGAUCGUCCCCUUGGGGCGGAAAGAAGCCAAGGCCAAGGAGCUGGUGCGGCAGCUGCAGCUGGAGGCCGAGGAGCAGAGGAAGCAGAAGAAGCGGCAGAGUGUGUCGGGCCUGCACAGAUACCUUCACUUGCUGGAUGGAAAUGAAAAUUACCCGUGUCUUGUGGAUGCAGACGGUGAUGUGAUUUCCUUCCCACCAAUAACCAACAGUGAGAAGACAAAGGUUAAGAAAACGACUUCUGAUUUGUUUUUGGAAGUAACAAGUGCCACCAGUCUGCAGAUUUGCAAGGAUGUCAUGGAUGCCCUCAUUCUGAAAAUGGCAGAAAUGAACAAGUACACUUUAGAAAAUAAAGAGGAAGGAUCACUCUCAGAUACUGAAGCUGAUGCAGUCUCUGGACAACUUCCAGAUCCCAGAACGAAUCCCAGUGCUGGAAAGGACGGGCCCUCCCUGCUGGUGGUGGAGCAGGUCCGGGUGUUGGACCUGGAAGGGAGCCUGAAGGUGGUGUACCCGUCCA
rnacentral:sRNA from 1 species